CAUAUUCAUUCCAUGGUUUAUAGAGCAAAAGACCUUGGUGAUCAGCCAUCAAUGGAGGAUUUAUACAUAUUUCGUGCAAUGGUCUGAAAUGAAGGAGAAAAGUGCUUGACAUAUGUGCACGAGGCUGCUAGGAUUAAUGUACAAGCCGAUUAUAGAAGAGAUGAGGUACAUGAUGAUCAUUUACAUCAUCCGGUUUGUAGGCGAGGAAAAGGUGGUGUUGCCGGUAGGAGGGCUCGUGCUGCUGAGAUAGGACGGGCGCUUAUUGAAAUGGAUGAAUCAGUCUCCGAAGAUGAUCACACAACUUGUGAUUUUGGUUCCAUUUCAAGGGGCCAAACUCAAGAAUUCACUCCCGGGGCAUCAGGUAUGACAUAUCAACCAACAAAUACUAAUAUUGUUCCAUACACGACAUCACAAAUAUUAAGGAAUUCUAGUCUUUCAUCACUUGAGAAUGUAUUUGGUGGUUUUCGACCUCAACAUUUUGAGAAUGCCCCCAACUUUAAUUCAUCACCUGGGCUGCCAAUGUCCAUUUAGACCCCCUAUGUUGUUAAUCAUUUAGAGGACUCCAACGAUGAAGUGUAGAAUGCAAACGAAUAUGGUGAACCAUCAGUGAAGGAGAAGCGUAGGAUUUUUCCUAAGCGUUGUGGGACUGGGAGUCACUAUCUUUACCAGCAUGGCAAAAACAAAACAAGCAACGAGAAACAAAGAACUGUAAUUGAAAGGUUUAGGUAUCCAAAUUUGGUACUCCUUGUUAAAUUAUUGUUUCUUCCAUAUUUUGGUAAAACAGAGUUGUUCCG